rnacentral:rRNA from 1 species
AUGAACGCUGGCGGUAUGCUUAACACAUGCAAGUCGAACGGAUGUUUUCGGACAUUAGUGGCGGACGGGUGAGUAACGCGUGAGAAUCUAGCUUCAGGUUGGGGACAACAGUUGGAAACGACUGCUAAUACCGAAUAUGCCGAGAGGUGAAAGAUUAAUUGCCUGAAGAAGAGCUCGCGUCUGAUUAGCUAGUUGGUGGGGUAAGAGCUUACCAAGGCGACGAUCGGUAGCUGGUCUGAGAGGACGAUCAGCCACACUGGGACUGAGACACGGCCCAGACUCCUACGGGAGGCAGCAGUGGGGAAUUUUCCGCAAUGGGCGAAAGCCUGACGGAGCAAUACCGCGUGAGGGAAGAAGGCUCUUGGGUUGUAAACCUCUUUUCUUAGGGAAGAAAAAAAUGACGGUACCUAAGGAAUAAGCAUCGGCUAACUCCGU